rnacentral:piRNA from 1 species
UCCAGGACUGCCCCUUCCUGGGCCAACUAA